GGAGGAAAAGAAACCAACUGGGAUUCCCUGAGUAACGGCGAGCGAAAAGGGACCAGCCCAGCGCCGAAUCCCCCACCUUUAUAGGUGGCGGGAAAUGUGGCGUUUAGGAGUGAGCGUGCCGGGACAGGACUCUGCAGCAAGUCCCCCUGACCGGGGCCUAUCCAGAGCGGGUGCGAGGCCCAUAGCCGCUAGGUCCGUCUCGGAUGCGAUCUCCUGGGAGUCGGGUUGCUUGGGAGUGCAGCCCUAAUCGGGUGGUAAACUCCACCUAAGGCUAAAUACCGCCGUGAGACCGAUAGCAAACAAGUACCGUGAGGGAAAGUUGCAAAGAACUUUGAAGAGAGAGUUCAAGAGUACGUGAAACUGCUCAGAGGUAAACGGGUGGGCCCUCGAAAUCCUGUGGCGGGAGGAUUCAGUCUGGAGUUGCGGUCGCGCUGGUCGGAAACGAAGGCAGGGCUUCCCAAACAGGGGGCCGUCCGACCGCGAGCUUCCGUUCCGCCAGACGCAUUUGUCUCCCGUCCUAAGGACGCCGCAGCC
rnacentral:rRNA from 1 species